GAUGAACGCUGGCGGCGUGCCUAAUACAUGCAAGUCGAGCGAACGGACGAGAAGCUUGCUUUUCUGAUGUUAGCGGCGGACGUGUGAGUAACACGUGGAUAACCUACCUAUAAGACUGGGAUAACUUCGGGAAACCGGAGCUAAUAUCGGAUAAUAUUUUGAACCGCAUGGUUCAAAAGUGAAAGACGGUCUUGCUGUCACUUAUCGAUGGAUCCGCGCUGCAUUAGCUAGUUGGUAAGGUAACGGCUUACCAAGGCAACGAUGCAUAGGCGACCUGAGAGAGUGAUCGGCCACAUUGGAAGUGAGACACGGUCAAGAGUACUGAGGGAGGGAGCAGUAGGGUACGGGACGCAAUAGGCGAAAGCAUGACGGAGUAAGGCGGAGUGUGAGAUGGAGGUGCUCGGAUCGUAAAACUCUCUUACUAGGGGAGAACCUAUGUGUAAGUAACUGUGCACAUCUUGACGGUAACUAAUCAGAAAGCCACGGCUAACUACGUG
rnacentral:rRNA from 1 species